rnacentral:rRNA from 1 species
UAAUACGGAGGAUGCAAGCGUUAUCCGGAUUUAUUGGGUUUAAAGGGUGCGUAGGCGGCACGCCAAGUCAGCGGUGAAAUUUCCGGGCUCAACCCGGACUGUGCCGUUGAAACUGGCGAGCUAGAGUGCACAAGAGGCAGGCGGAAUGCGUGGUGUAGCGGUGAAAUGCAUAGAUAUCACGCAGAACCCCGAUUGCGAAGGCAGCCUGCUAGGGUGCGACAGACGCUGAGGCACGAAAGCGUGGGUAUCGAACAGGAUUAGAUACCCUGGUAGUCCACGCAGUAAACGAUGAAUACUAACUGUUUGCGAUACAAUGUAAGCGGUACAGCGAAAGCGUUAAGUAUUCCACCUGGGGAGUACGCCGGCAACGGUG